rnacentral:rRNA from 1 species
UACGUAGGGGGCAAGCGUUGUCCGGAUUUAUUGGGCGUAAAGAGCGUGUAGGCGGCCAUACAGGUCAGCUGUGAAAACUCGAGGCUCAACCUCGAGACGUCGGUUGAAACCGUAUGGCUAGAGUCCGGAAGAGGAGAGUGGAAUUCCCGGUGUAGCGGUGAAAUGCGCAGAUAUCGGGAAGAACACCCGUGGCGAAGGCAGCCCCCUGGGCCGACAUUGACGCUCAGGCACGAAAGCGUGGGGAGCAAACAGG